rnacentral:rRNA from 1 species
UACAGAGGUGGCAAGCGUUGUUCGGAAUUACUGGGCGUAAAGGGCGCGUAGGUGGCCUUCUUAGUCAGACGUGAAAUCCCCGGGCUUAACUCGGGAACUGCGUCUGAUACUGGAAGGCUGGAGUUCGGGAGAGGAAUGUGGAAUUCCAGGUGUAGCGGUGAAAUGCGCAGAUAUCGGGAGGAACACCAAUGGCGAAGGCAGCUCGCUGGGACGGUACUGACGCUGAGGCGCGAAAGCGUGGGGAGCAAACAGG